rnacentral:rRNA from 1 species
AUGGCGCCGCCACAGCCAGGGGGAUCAGAUCGCCGGCCUCCUCCUCUUGGCCUCCGUGGGCUUUCGCGGGUGGCUUUCCAACCUAGAUCGCCGCCACCAGGAGCAGUUCCUCCUCCUCCUCCUCUUGGUCUCACUGGACGCGCGUUGAUGCCAGCUUUCUCCAUUGGCACCGCUCGCUCGGAGCCGCAUCCUCCUCCAACGACAUUGCCUCGACAGCGCGUCGGCCUCGCACGCCCAUCUCGUCCUCCGGCACCUAACGAGGCCGGUUCCUCGAACUGGAGUGUCUCCAUUGGCGGAGCCGUGGCAGGUAGCGGAGAGAUGGUAAGAUCUUCGUUCGUGGGGUUUAGCCUCGUCAAUGGUGGCGGCGGGAUCUCGUUCGGCAGUGGCGGCAGUGAGUCCAUGGGCUUCACUUUCAGUUCCGGCGCCGGUGGCAUACGGAUCAGAGAUGGAUCCUCCCGUGCUGCCACCAUAGAAGGAACUGGGUUCGGCCUUGCUGGACAGAAUGGGCAGGAGAUGACCAACGGAGACACUCCAACAAUUGGCUACCGAGGGGUUGGAUACAACCCAAAUUUUGCCCAUGCCGACGAAUACCCUCCUAGUCAAGAGCAUGUUCAAAUCCAAAAAGAACCUAUCGAUUUGAAUGUUAUGUCGAACAAGGAGACAAGAACGCACUACCGUACAGAUGAUAAGCGACACAUAUAUUCUGAGAUCCUUGCCCGUAAUGGUGGGGGUAAUAGGUUGAAGCAUGGAGUUUCUAAAGCUGUUGCACUAGCUUGUGAAUGUCCAAGGAGAAUAGUGCAAAGGGUAUGGCAGCAGGCUAAAAAUGGUGGAGGCAUUACAGGGGUAAAAAACAAUCGGAAGCUCAAAUCAGGAAGGAAAAAGAUAAAUUUAAACAUAGAUGCAUUGGAGGCCAUCCCACCUAGAGAGAGAACAACAUUAGAACAAGUUGCUGGACAUCUAAACUUGUGA